CAGCCGCCGCGGUAAUACGAAGGGGGCUAGCGUUGCUCGGAAUCACUGGGCGUAAAGGGUGCGUAGGCGGGUCUUUAAGUCAGGGGUGAAAUCCUGGAGCUCAACUCCAGAACUGCCUUUGAUACUGAAGAUCUUGAGUUCGGGAGAGGUGAGUGGAACUGCGAGUGUAGAGGUGAAAUUCGUAGAUAUUCGCAAGAACACCAGUGGCGAAGGCGGCUCACUGGCCCGGUACUGACGCUGAGGCACGGAAGCGUGGGGAGCAAACAGGAUUAGAUACCCGCGUAGUCCCUGUCUCUUAUAC
rnacentral:rRNA from 1 species